rnacentral:lncRNA from 1 species
GUCGCGGCGCCGCCCCCAGCCCGCGGUCCAGCCACUCGGGAAGCUGAGGCAGGAGGAUCACCGUGAGUUCCCGCCCAGCCUGGGAUACACAGUGAGCCUGGCUCACAACACCAGGGCAGAAGCCAGGUGUGGGGAGCACCUCUGAGUUAGAGGCCAGCGCGGUCUACACCGAGCGUUCCGGGCCAGCCAGGCAGGGAUGGAUACAGGUCCUACAGGAAAGGGGGAGAAUGCCCUAGAACAGGACUGUAGCCAACACAGACAAGUAUUUAGUCUGGCCCUUGAUUCUUCGUCUGUAAGUGAGAUAGCCCUUGCUCUCUGGAUUCCAGCAAGGCUGUCAAGAUUAAUUCAAGUAAAACCCACAAAAGUGCCUUGUAAAUCUUCACCCACUGAGCUACAGGUAAGUUUGAUAUUUUAAAAACUUAUCAGGAGUGGUGCAUGCCAGCAGUGUCAGUUACUUGAGAAGUGGAGGCAGGAGGAUCAUAAACUCAAGGUCAGCCUUAGCGGGAUGUAGCGAGUUUGAGGCCAGUCUGGGCUACGUAAGACCUUGUCUCAAAAGACAAAAUAAAAGCAUCAUGCUGGACAGGCCUGAUGCACCAGGCGCUGGAUCCUUGUUUUUUUUUUUUUUUUUUUUUUUUUGUUUGUUUUUCUUUUUUUUUUUUUUUUUUUUGGCCUCUGAGAAAGAGGUGUCUUUGUACCAAGACCCUCCUAGCAUCUCUAGCCCCACAGUGGUUGCAUACUGCUGCUGUCCUGGGAGCCAAUCGGUCCCACCUAUCACUCCCUAGGACCAGAAGAGAAAUCCUUGCCAUGCGAUAUCACUUCCACAAACACCCAGAAAGCUUGCCUGCUCAUAGCCGUAAGGCCGCUGCUGCUGAGCAGAAGGUCCCGUCUGAGAUGCUCUGUAGCUUCCAUACUGUUGGCCUUGUCCUUGCUGGUAGCUUGAGUACUGUGAGGGGGCUCCCUGGGCAGGGCCUGUGAAGACAGCAGAGACUGUGAGGCCAGCCAACCAUCUCCAGCUCUCCAUGCUUCGAACACCCAGACAUCAGGUACCUGUCCUACGGUGGGCAAAGCCUAUACAAGACUGCUACAACCCAGCUUGCCAUUUCUGACAGUUGUGUGAGGACUAGAGACUGUGCCCAUACACAUAUGGGCACUGAUGGCCCAAACCCAGCACACUGUGCCUGCCGUGUUGCAGAAGUGGGUGAAGGGCUACUCCAGAACCAGCUGGGGUCAGCUGUGGUGGAUACAGUAAAACACAAUCCUACAUGGCAACAGGAACUCAGGGGCAGAACAGAAAUGUCCGUCUUCCUGCGAAAACUAAGUUGAAGGCUCAGGAAAGGGCUGACAAUGUACAGCAUCUGGUGUGUGUGUGUGUGUGUGUGUGUGUGUGUGUGUGUGUGUGUGUAUGUGUGUAUGUGUGUAUGUGUGCAUGUGUGCAUGUGUAUGUGUGUGUGUGUGUGUGUGUGUGUGGUGGGUGUGUGUGUGUGUAUGUGUGUGUGUGGUACCGAGGGCAGAAAAUAGGUCACCACAGAGGGUGGGCUGUAGCUGGAGUUUCUUUCCAGACUGGUCCCACAGCUGAUUAGCCCCAAACACUGAUUGGCUAGUAGCCAGGCAGGAAGUAUAGGUGGGGCUACCAGACAAGGAGAAUUUUGGGGAGAGAAGCCAUAAGGAGAUGCCAUGUAGCUGAGGAAGGAAUAACAGGUCUGGAUCUUUCUCCGGUAAGAUGGGACGACGUGGAAAAGCUUAGAUUAACAGAAACGGGUUAAUGGGGAAGAGAGAGGCAGUAAGAAGCCGGAGCCAUCGGCGAAACAGUUUAUAACUAGUAUGUCUCUGUGUGCUUAUGUGGGCUAAUCUGCUGUGGGACCAGGCUGGAAAGAAACUCCAGCUACAGGGGGCGGCACUCUACCACGGAAACACAGUCCAGCCCCCAGUGAACACUAGGGAGGCUUUCAAUGCUACAUGGCUGUGGCCUGUAAGCUAUGGCCCAACGCUGUUUCUCUUUCUUCCCGAAUGUAUGUCCGAACACCACAUGCAUCCAGCAGAGGAGGCCGGGAGUGGGGUGGGGGGUGGGGAGUAUCAGGUCUCCCCUGGGACCGGAGUUUCAGUCAGUUGGGAGCUUUCAUAGGGGUGCUGAGAGCCAAAUACUGGUCUUCUGAAAGAGAAUUAAGAGCUCUUAACAGUGACAACAGCAUUACAAUGUAUGCAGCCCACAGCAGGCACCAGAGUGAUAGGGAAAGUAUUUCUGUGUAUGUCUAUCUUAUUGAUUGUUGAAUAAAAUACUCUGGCCAAUGGCAGCAAGUUAGACAGGACUAGGAGUCAAAGAGGAUUCUGGGAAAUGUAGUAGAGAAGUGGUGAUCCAGGCCAGAAGUGACAUAGCAAGGAGACUCAUAUUUAACAAGGAGAAACAGGAAGGGUCCCUUUUUCCCCUCAACUCUUCCUCCAGAGGCGCAAUGUGAUCCACUGGCAAGGAGGGACGCCAAUAAGGCGUCCAAUAAGUCUUUUAAAAUAUAUAGAUUUAUAAUGAUUAAGACUGAGCUAACAAAUGAGAAUCCCAGUCAUUGCCCAAGCAACACUGUACCUAAUCCAAGUCUCUCUGUGUAUUAACUGGGGCCGUAACUCGGGCGGGCGGCUGGUACAGAGUGCACACGUGGCAGUGGGGCUCAGCGGCUUUUGGCGGAAAGAUUUAUCAUAACAGAAUGGUGUCAGGAGUGGGAUGACCCCAAGGAUGGUGUCAGUGAGUUACCCAAGGUCCCAGAGAAAGAGGAAACCCUGCCACCACAGCCUGCCCUGUCCGGCCGCUGAGAGGCAUCGGAACAGCUUCCAUAUGCUCGGGCAGUCCCGGUGCUCUUUGGCGUUGGACUCGGCACUUCCGAGAUGAUAAAGACAGAUCCAGAUAAAGAAAAACCUCUAAAGGUUUACACUGCAUUUAAAAAUAUAUGUAGGCUUGUGAGAGAAAAAGUAACAGGAGGAAAUAGAGUAGUCGGUUAUGGUGGCGCACGCCAGUAGGAUUUGCUGAAGGAAGC